rnacentral:lncRNA from 1 species
AGUUUGCUUAACAGUCUUAUACCUGAUGAUCCAUUCCUUACAGAAUUCAUCAAACUGCGACGAAUAAAAUUCCAAACCAUUGUCGGUCCUUAAUCUCUUGAUCUUCUUUUCAGUUUGUCUUCUCAAUCAUGACCUUUCACUGCUUAAAAUAAUUGAACACCUUGUCCUUACUUUUCAGAAAGAACGCCGACACUUUACGA